ensembl:lncRNA LINC00293 long intergenic non-protein coding RNA 293
AGGGAACAGCAACCAGGUGAGAUCAUGACUCUUGGAUGGACAUCUAGCUGACACGAUUGUCAUUUUCACAAGAACACAUACAAAUAAGACUCUGCCAAGAGAGGGGAUUAUUACAUAUUGCAGAGCCCAGCACCUAGGUGGAGUGACUCUCAUCUUUUUCUUCUACCCCGUAUAUAGCCAGCUUGGUGACCUACUAUUUGAGUCUAUACCCAGGCCCAGACCACAGAUGAAAUUGUGCAAUAUGUGGAACAAACACCUAAACAAUAUAUAACACCUUCCUUGGCUCUGUCUACAAAGGGCACUUUUAUAUAUCACUGGGACCAUCAACCAGGUGAUGUUGUGCCAUAUAACUGAGACCGUAUCAAAAGCCUAAUAACAAGACGUAUGUCUGGAGCCCCGAUAUGCACAGGAUGGUGAUAUAACCCUCUUCUCUGGAAUGGGCCCCACACAAAGGAAGGAUAGUGACAUAUUGCAAGCCCAGGCACACAGGCCCAGAGCACAGUUGAAAUUGUGACAUAUGUACACCAAGCAACCAAGCAAUGUAUAACACCUCAUUUGGCAAUGGAAUCGAGGGCACUUUUACAUAUCACUGAGACCAGCGCCCAGCUGAUGUGAAAUAUUGGCCUGAACCCUGCCUACAAAAGCAUUGUGGCUUUUAUCUAGCUCCAUUACAUAAGUGAUGUGACUUCCUUCUACUGCCUUGGCCCUGCACUUAUGGUGAAUCGUGACACAAAAUUGGGUAGAGCAACCAGCCUGGGCCCUGACCAGCACAGAGAUUGAGGCAUAUUGCUGAACCCAGGACCAAGAUGAAGUCACUCUCCUGCCUUGAUCCUGCACACAGGGACCCUUGUGACAUAUAUACAGGCCAAUUGCCUAGGUGAUGUUGUGCAAUAUACCUGAGACCAGAUCAAUGGCCUAAUAAUGACUCUUUUACCUAGAGCCAGGACAUGUGCAGGAUGGUAACUCUCAUCCCUGAACCUUUCCACAGGUGUUAUUGUCACAUAUACCUUUUCCAGCUCCAAAGUGAUUUAAUAAUCCAGCCUAGUUAUAGCCCACAGAUAAUAUUUGGACAUAUACCUGAGUCAAGAACCUUGGUGAUUUGACUCUCAUGUCUUAACAGUGUCCUCAGAAGGGAUCAUAACAUAUCUCUGGACCCAUCAUCUAGGUUAUGUGACUCUCUUCUCCUGCCUGAACCCUGCUUCCAGUGAAGAGUGUUGCAUUUCUAAGCACUGCAUCCAAAUGACAUGAGUUUCUUGCCUGGGCCGUUUCAACAGAAGGCAUUGUGACAUAUCUCUAGGUCUAUCAUUUAGGUGAUAUGACUCUCCUCUCCUGCCUGGACACUCUCCACAAGGGGCAUUAUGCCAUAGAGCUAGAGCUAGCAACCAAGUUUUGUGAAUUUUCUGUUAGGGCCUUGCCUACAAAGAGAAUUUUGGAAUAUUUCUGGCUUAGAAUUUAAGUAAUGUGGUUGUUCUGCCUGUUCAGUAACCACAGAGGAGAAGGUGAAAUAUAUCUAGGCACCGCAAACAGGCAUGAUAAUGAGUCUUGUAUGUGGACCCAGCAAAUAGGAGAAAUUUUGACUCUUAUAACUAGGUUUAGGAACAUGAGUGAUGUCCAGGAUCUCCUUCUGGUAAGAAGGUCACAGAAGAUUGCAACACUCACAAUUAUUUUGUAACACCUUUGGGUUGUAUAGGGAGUGUCGUAACAGGGCCAAACACACAGAGGAAAUUGUGACAGUCAUAUGCACACCUACCUGACAGUAAAGACUUUCACAAUCACAAAUGGAUGAAGGCAACUGUCCUACAUGAAAACAGGACAUGUGUGGUAUUGUACAUCUAAAACCUAGAAUUUUAUUCCAUUGUGACUGUGAUAUAAAUCAAUGCCAAGCA